rnacentral:rRNA from 1 species
AUACGGAGGAUCCAAGCGUUAUCCGGAUUUAUUGGGUUUAAAGGGUGCGCAGGCGGCCUUAUAAGUCAGUGGUGAAAUCUCCCGGCUCAACCGGGAAACUGCCAUUGAUACUGUAAGGCUAGAAUACAGACGAGGUAGGCGGAAUGUAGCAUGUAGCGGUGGAAUGCUUAGAUAUGCUACAGAACACCAAUCGCGAAGGCAGCUUACCAGACUGUAAUUGACGCUAAGGCACGAAAGCGUGGGGAGCGAACAGGAUUAGAAACCCGAGUAGUCC